rnacentral:rRNA from 1 species
AACGUCGUGAGACAGUUCGGUCCCUAUCUGCCGUGGGCGUAUGAGAUUUGAGAGGAGCUGCUCCUAGUACGAGAGGACCGGAGUGAACGAACCUCUGGUGUUCGGGUUGUCACGCCAGUGGCAUUGCCGGGUAGCUAUGUUCGGAAAGGAUAACCGCUGAAGGCAUCUAAGCGGGAAGCCCCCCUCGAGAUGAGGUUUGGUAGCUUUGCGAAAGACCCCUGGUAGACGACCAGGUUGAUAGGCCGCGCGUGCAAGGGUUGAGAAGCCCUCAGCGGAGCGGUACUAAC